UACAGAGGGUGCAAGCGUUGCUCGGAAUCAUUGGGCGUAAAGGGUAGGUAGGUGGUCUCAUUUGUCUGGGGUGAAAGCCUUGAGCUUAACUCGAGAAGUGCCCCGGAAACGGUGAGACUGGAGUCUUGGAGAGGCUAGCGGAAUUCCCGGUGUAGCGGUGAAAUGCGUAGAGAUCGGGAGGAACACCAGAGGCGAAGGCGGCUAGCUGGACAAGUACUGACACUCAACUACGAAAGCGUGGGGAGCAAACAG
rnacentral:rRNA from 1 species